rnacentral:rRNA from 1 species
UACGAAGGGGGCUAGCGUUGUUCGGAAUUACUGGGCGUAAAGCGCACGUAGGCGGACUAUUAAGUCAGGGGUGAAAUCCCGGGGCUCAACCCCGGAACUGCCUUUGAUACUGGUAGUCUCGAGUCCGGAAGAGGUGAGUGGAAUUCCGAGUGUAGAGGUGAAAUUCGUAGAUAUUCGGAGGAACACCAGUGGCGAAGGCGGCUCACUGGUCCGGUACUGACACUGAGACGCGAAGGCGUGGGGAGCGAACGGG